GUGUCAGCCGCCGCGGUAAUACGUAGGUGGCAAGCGUUAUCCGGAAUUACUGGGCGUAAAGCGCACGCAGGUGGUUGGCUAAGUUCGACGUGAAAGCGCCUGGCUUAACUGGGCGAGGUCGUUGGAGACUGGUCAACUUGAGGUGAGGAGAGGGGUGUAGAAUUCCCGGUGUAGUGGUGGAAUGCGUAGAUAUCGGGAGGAAUACCAGUGGCGAAAGCGGCACCCUGGCCUUGGCCUGACACUCAUGUGCGAAAGCGUGGGGAGCAAACGGGAUUAGAUACCCCCGUAGUCC
rnacentral:rRNA from 1 species